GUCCGGAUGGCCGAGCGGUCUAAGGCGCUGCUUCUAGGUCGCAGUCCACUUGUGUCGGAGUGGGUUCGAAUCCCAUUUCGGAAA